rnacentral:lncRNA from 12 species
GCGUUUCAAAUAACACAGUUUUCUUCUUUUCUUUUUCUUUCUUUCUUUCUUUCUUUCUUUCUUUCUUUCUUUCUUUCUUUCUUUCUUUCUUUCUUUUCUCCUUCCUUCCUUCCUUCCUUCCUUCCUUCCUUCCUUCCUUCCUUCCUUCCUUCCUUCCUUCCUUCCUUCCUUCCUUCCUUCCUUCCUUUUUCUUCUUUUUUUUUCCCCCCAGGCUCCAACCCAUGUGCAGAAUGGUCCCAGACUCCCUGCCACCCACAUGCUUAAUGAGUGGCCUUACUCAGCUCACUUAACUGUGUGUGGCUUCUGUAAAGGAGGCCUAGCAACAUCCACCUCACAGAACGGCCAUGAAGUUAGACAACAAGUGUUUGUCACAUACAUAAGGGCGAUUCUGGGCACGAGACAGCUGUGACAGAGUUUAUCCUUGCCCUUCUGGCCUGACCUCUCGCUUGCUUGGAUUCUGGUCCCCUGAGCCGAUCUGCUAAAGCUCCUCUUCGCUGCUGGGCGUGGGGAGAGAAUGGAGAUGAAGACGCACAGGCCCAAGCUGCUGGGUGCGCACUUUCCAGUAGGUGCCUUCCAGGCACCCGACGGUUGUCACCAAGUGCAGAGGUACUGAGGCACAGCUGUGCCAGGACCUUCACUUACACAGCCAAACACCCUUCUUCAAAAUAAAGAACAAACCACUCUGUUGCCGAGGCA